GUAAUAAUAAACAAUAUCCAAAAUUCAGUUGUGAGUGAUUCUAAAAUUAAUACUAAAAUACACAGAAAAAACAAGAAAAAAUGAAAAAAGAAAAAUAAUGCAAAUACAAAUGAAAAAUAAGAAAAUAAGUACAAAGAAAAUUAAGCAAAAGAUCAUGUAUGUUAGAAAGUGAAAAACAAAUGAUAAAAAAAAGCCAUUUAAAGAUUCAGUGACAAGAAAAGUAUGAUUUCCUCAUCUGAUGUAAUUCAAAUAUAGACAGUUUCUUCCCCAACUUCUACUUUUAACAUUAACCAUUUUGGGGGUGUUUCUGGGGAGCAACUAUAGUUGUACUUGUUUCUUCUCAAUUCUAGCCUGAACAAGUCAGUACUGGUUGUGGAGUCUUGAAUGUUGAAAAGUUUUCUUUGUGCCUACCAGGAAGUACUAUAGAACCAUUUUUAUAUGAAGAGGUAAAUCAGUCACAAUAUUAGUUUUUUAUGUACCUGAGUAUGGGACUCUGGUUAGAGUAGGAGCUAUCAACAAAACUCUAGGACAUGGAGCCUGUGGAUCAGUCUGUGCUGAAAAUCCCAAUUCCACACUUCUUUCAGUGAGCUCAAGGUCAUGCAAGACUUCAAGUCUCACUUCCUCUAAGCAUGGUACAGAUGGACUACAUGCAGGUCUGUGCUUGGUCGGGGGAGAUGCAGGAAACAAGCUUUUCAAAAGACCUUUCAAAGCAUUCCAAAAAUGUUCUGCCCCACAAAAUCACAUGUAACUCAUCUUCUUUUCUUUUACUAAUCUCAAAACACCAGUUUUGAAAGGGAGAUGUCCCCACUGCCCUCCAUUCUGUAAUGCAGCCAACCAGCACACCAUACUUCCUGCUGAUCAGAGUUUUCAACAUAUCUCUGUUAAUCUGGACCAAAAGGGUGGGUAUCCACAAUUCCAGUAAACAGAGACAGUUCCUGUGUCUUGGAGAUAAAACAUACAGGAGACUCUGAUAUCUCAAAGACAGAGUUCCAGCAAUGGGACCGUUCUAAAGAGGGAACCCCCUUGGUGAAUCACCAAGGAAAUGACUAUAUUUGCUUCAGUUGAAGAAGUGGGGGUUCUUCCUUCACAUGUCUCUAAGCACAGUGAGAUGGCCAGACUCUGGAGAACCAAUUCUGACUGUUUUCUUUCACAUAGUUCCUACAGGCACAUUUAAUUGAAACUCACCUCAGUUUCUAUCCCUUGGAUGACCAUGUAACCAUGACUACAGCUUUCCAGAGCUCCUUACAGAUCUGUGUCUCAGUUACUUUUGUUGAUAGAGCCUGACUUGUGUUGUUGAUGACUCUUGACCUGCCAAAUUCAUGUCCUUGUUGGGUCCUGGGAAUAUAAGAACAUAAAGGCCAGGGUUUCUGAUCAAUCAUCAAGAAAGUCUAGAAAAAGGACCCCAAGUAAAGAAGUUUCUUCAGUAGCACUCUGAUUCUGCUGAGAAGAAUCUGCAGUGCACCUGUCCUCCAUUGACAUCUCAGGCAGAAACUCAUUAAUGGAAGUUAAAAUACAUUUUUUUUUUAAGAUUAUAGAGGGUGUGAGCCUACCAGAGAAGAGCUUCCACCUAGCCAGUUUUUCCCUGAAAACUGCAGUUAAAUUAUUUUAUUAACUCUUUUAUUACUCUAAAAAACAUAUUUUUGUUCUAAUCUGUUCAUUGGCUCUCUGUAAUUGCACUCCACUGCUUGCCCUUACUUAGGUUUGCCAAACACACACUAGUUGAUUUGACUCAAAUUCAGGGUGCAGUCAGUAACCAUUGUACGCAUCUACAUAUAUGUUUUUUUUUUUACCAUAGUAUAAUAUUUUGUAAUUUUUUCUUGUGUGGAAACUGUAUUGGAAAAGAAAGAAAACUUUUUUUAAACCAGUUUAUCAUUUUAUUAUACUAGUUUUCCUAUCAGUAAAAGUUUCACCAAAAGAAAUUUAGAUUUCUGUAAGCCCUUGCUUCCCUGAAUAAGACAGUGGGAACAAGGCUUCUUUUCUACUUGAUGUGACAUAAUUCAGUCUCAACAGGAAAAGCUUAUAAUUAGAAUGUUUUAAAUGUUUAAUGAUGUGUGGCAAAUGUGUAUAUACAUAUAUAUGUGUAUAUACAACUUACACUUUAUACAUGUUAUAUAGUAUAUAUGUUAUAUAUGGUAGAAGGUCCUCUUAUUUUUAGUAGUAAUUUAUGAGUAGUGUUCCGUGUAAUGAAGUUACUUCCUGAUAGAAAUAUGCACAUCAGUUAGUGUACUAUUGGUAGUUCUCGUUCUCUCUCUCUCUCUCUCUCUCUCUCUCUCUCUCUCUCUCUCUCUCUCUUAGCUGUCAAUGGACCUUUGUUUUAUUCAUUUAUAUGCAGUGCUGAGACUUGAACCCAGUUCCUCACACAUGCAUGGCAAGCACUCUGCCACUGAUCCACAACCCUAGCCCUCAUGUUGAUAGUUCUCUAUUGUCCUUCUAUCCUGGUUUUAUAGAGUUAGUAGACAAAUGAAUAUAAUAUUUGGCUUAUUUCCAUAGUAUAUAUAACACUGUGAUAUAAAAUAUUUCAAUUUUUAAUGUGUACUUCUCUAGUUUUUAAAUCUAAUUUUUUUCAAAUCUGGAAAAUUAGGUGUCUCCUUAGAAUACUGAUUAGGCAAUCUUCAUAUAAUUCAUUAGUGAUAUAAUUUUACCAGACGACUAUCUCUCAGAUUCUUCCUCAGAAUAGUGUUGGUCAUUCAUUUGGUGAUGCACAUCAAAGAGAAAAAGAUGGUAUAAAUGGACAUACAGAAGGUAAGAACCACUCAUUAUAAAAAUCAUUGGAUAAUAAUGCAUGUUUAAAACAUGAGCACUAGUAUGAUUUAAUAGUGGAAGAAAUGAAAAUAAUAAAUAGUAUGGGAGUUGAAAUAGUGUAUCUAAUCAAGUUGCAACCACAGGGUAAGUUGGACUGGUCCUAGAGGAGCUGAGUUAUUAGGUCCAUUGCCAGACCUGCUUAAAUUAGAGGAAAGUUGGGACAUAAGAAAAGGGGAGAGAAUAAUUUGGAAAUGAAGAAUGAGAAAAGACUAUAGACAACAACAACCAAAAAGAAAAAGAAAAAGAAAAAAUAAGCAGAUGCACAUUGAUGAUGGCCUGAUAAACCAUUCCUUGGAAAGAUUAUGACUUCUAAUACAUCUACAAAUUAGAGUACAAAUUGGGAGAAUUUUAAAUAGGUGAAAUAAAUGGCCAGGCACAUGGUGCAUACCUAUAUUCCCAGUGGCUCUGGAGGUUGAAGACGGAGAAAUAAUUUCUAUUUUAAAGCCAGCUCAGUAACUGAAUGAGGCCCUCAGAUAUUCAGCAAGACCCUUUCUCUAAAUAAAAUUUAAAAAGGGAUGUGGAUGUUGCUCAGUAGCUAGACACCCAUGGGUUCAAUCCCCAGUACCAAUAACAAAAUAACAAAGCCAAAAGAAACAUCAAAUAGGCAUGUUAAGUUAGAGAAUUGGUAGAAGAUUAAGCAUGCAUAAGAACUCUCAAAUUUUAUUGAAUCAUAUGUUGGGGACCAUGUACAAAAUGUAUGUUCUGACUCAGCAGGUCUUUGGUUCUACAUCCUGAAUACAUUCAAAGAUGCUUCCAAUGAUCCUUGAUCCACAGACUACAUUCUGAGUUGCAAGAGCAGUUGAAUGAAUUGCCCUUUAGAAAAUCUAAAUUAAGAGCCAUUGUGUAUUAGGUCAUGGCAUAACUAUAUUAAAUUAGAGCAUAAAUAUUGCUUUGUUUUUGAUUAUGUCUGUUGGCAAAGGGGAAGAACAAAUGGAUGAAACAUAGAAAUUGUAUUUUUUUAAAUAUUUUUGUAGUUGUACACAAUAACUUUAUUUAUUUAUUUAUUUAUUUUUAUGUGUUGCUGAGGAUCGAACCCAGAGCCUUGCACGUGCACGUGCUGAGCCAUAACCCAAGCCCCCAAAUUAUAUUUUUUAAAUAUUUUUUAAAGUUGUAAAUUGACACAAUACCUUUAUAUUAUUUAUUUUAUAUAGUGCUGAGGAU
rnacentral:lncRNA from 1 species